AAUGCAACUGUCCCAGAAAUGAUUGCAGCAGUUCACUAUGUUUAAAGUUAUCUAUCUUCUUUGCCAUCUCUAUUGACUGGAAACCCAGUGCAGACACUUCAGCUUGAGAAGAGCUUCAAGGUUGUCUUUCAGGGCCUUCAGAACAGCAGUGGAUGGACCUGGAAGAUCCUACCAUUCCCAAGGAAUGACCCCUGGGGACUAAGUGAGUGAUCAGCUGAUGGAUGCUUCAUUACUGGUGAGAGGCAACCUGCCACAGACUGAAAUCACUCUAAUGGAAGUAUGAUUAGGAUCCCUUCACAAUGAUCUGUCCUCAGGGCACUCAUCCAGAGAACCACUUCAUCUUGAGAGGAUGAAGUGGGAACAACAUCUCUAACACCUGUCUAUCACUGAAUUACACCUUCUUGUCCUGGGGACUGCUCCUGAGAGAUACAGGCCUGAAGCGAACUUCACUGGGCCAUUCUAAAUACCACAGAUGUCCUGCAUCCCUAUGCUAUACCAGAAAUGAUGUUUUCCUUCCAGGAACCACUCACUUUGGUAAAGACAGAGAAUAUUUACGGCUAGAUUUGAAAACCAAAAGUCAAAAAGCAGACUACAGCACCUGUCCAGAAAUGAAACUCUAAUCUCCAUAAAAUCAUAGAAUGGGUUGGGUUGGAAGACAAUCUGGUUCCAACCAUUCCAACCCCCUGCCACAGACAAGGGACAUCUUCUGCCAGAUCAGGAUGCCCAGGGCCCCAUCCAACCUGGCCUUGAACACUUCAAGCAUGGACCAUCCAUAGCUUUUCUGGGCAACUUGUUCUAGUGCCUCUCCACCCUGAUACCUCAAUGUACUGAGAGGCUGCAAUGAGGUCUCUCCAGAGCCUUCUCCAGGCUAAAAAACUGCAGCACUCUCAGCUCUCUUCACAGGAGAGGUGCUCGAACCCUGCAACCUUCCUGAAGGAACUCAGAAGGUAGAUUCCCAUCCAGGAGGCUUGUUUUCCAUUACUAACAGGAAUGAUCUGAUUUGAUUUACAAGAUCCAGCUGAACUACGUCAGAGACAAGCUAUGUGAAAUCCCUUGCAAGGAACCUAAACCAAUGGACCCAGGCUGAUAACAGUUAUUGAAAACUCAAGUUAAAAGCUCUCCGACAAACAAGAAGCUUGCGCCGAGGCUGAGAAUCACAGAAUCACAGAACUUAACAGAAGUAAUUGAAGUAACUGAAACACAUGGAAACCUUUAUUCCUCUCAUGUGAAGCAUGAGUGGUAGCAGCAAAUCUAUGGAUAUCUGCAGAUACCAUCAGACUAGGAUGUCCCUUUGUUUAAGUCCAGGGUAAUGACAGGGGGGUUUCAGCUUCAAUGGGAAAAGCACAUUCAGUGCAACACAUACAUCUACCACUGAAAACAAAUAACUAUUGCUCAAAGGCAAACUAGUCAAUUUAGAAUACACAUGCUGAGAAGUAAGAAGUUCUGCCAAGCCUUUUUCCAAAGGAACCAUUCAUGGCCCUGAUUUCUCUCUUUUAGGUCAAUUUCUGACAUCUCCUUCAACAACUAGACCCUAAAGCACAGAAAACAAAAGUUUCCAUGUUCAUGACUAAAAUUCAGAGGAGAAGAAUGGCAACAAAGGGCAACCCAGAGAAGACAGAAUAACUUUAAUUAAAUAAAUAAAAUUAAAUAAGCCUGCCUACACUAUAGUAUCUAUGCAGUAUUAAAAUUCAUGUCAGCUGAUAUCCUUCAUUUCAUAGCUCUUUUCCCUCAACACUCUUUAUAUUAUAAAAUAAUUUUGUUUUAAGAAAUCAUUCGAUGUGGGAUUUUUGUUUUCUUUAAUUGGCAUUCCGAACAUCAUAUAAAGUGAAUGGAUUUUUAAAGCAAAGGAAUACACUAAAGCUGCCAACAGUGCCACAGAUUAAUGAGAGACAUGAGUAUAUCCACAGAGAGCUCAGUAUACAGCUGAAUAUUGUACUGCCUUGGAAAUAUGGAAAAUGUGAUUCAUAGAGUCAUAGAAUCCUCAGAGCUGGAGGAGAGCUUUCAUGUAGUCGAGCUCCACUGCAGUGAAUGGGGACAUGCACAGCUACAUCAGGGUGCUCAGAACCUGGUCCAGUCUGGCCUUGGGAUGUAACCACUACACUGAAGAUGUGCAGGCUUUUUUAUAUUUUAUUAUAUUUCUUAUUUUUAAGAAAAUGUGAUCUUCCUAUAAGCUACUUGGGUUCAAAACUUUUUUGAAAUGUAGGACUGACUCAGCCACUACAUGCAAUAUUCCCCUGCCCAAUAAAAGCAGCAAACAACACCAUCUACCCUUGGAGAAUCACACCCUGGCUGCUUUUCAAAGUCAAAAAGCAGGCACCACGGCCUGCUAUUGCCAGCACGUGGCUGGUGACACCUGCUUCAUUAGAUGACAAGGACAUCUCAUUUGUAAUCAGAAGCUAAAUUUAUUUAUAACCAUCUUCAAGUGUAAUGGACAUCCUGCCAGUAAGAAAAUGCAGUCAUUAAAGCAAAAUGUAUACAUUAGAAUGAAUGCAAGUAUUACACAUUAGACAAAAUGCAAAGUUAACAAUUGAAUUGGUAUAAUGUAUAAAAAAAUUAAUGCCUAUAUUACUGAUUUAUAUUUUUAUUAAGUCUACACUACACAUCUAUGCUGCAAUAUAGAGUGCGAAUUGGAGCACCCUGAAAGUAGACAAAAAUAUCUUCAAAAAUUCUGAGAAACAAAUCAUCUGGUGACAGCCUGGGGGAUAUUCUGUCCAGAAAAAGAAACAAAGGAGUUGUGUGUUGGUAAAAAUCAUGCAGCAUUGCUAAUGAAAGAGAUCUGUCUGUCUGUCUUACAGACAGGUACAACUGAAAAAAAAACGAAGACACAAACAGCUCUGCAACUUUUAUGGAGCAAAGCCAGAGCUGAUACUUCUAAGUGUGGGAAGGAACAAAUACAUGUUAACACAUUGUUGCUUUGGCAGAGAUCCCAGGGUAAAGACUGGGGGUGUUCAGGUUCAACUGGAAAAGCACAUUCAGUCCAUCACUGGAAGAAAAGGAAUUCCAUGGACUGUAAUAAGGAGCAAUGGGAGCAGAGAAUUUCAGGACCUGGGUGAUUCUUAUGAACCACGAACCCGUGGAUUAUCGAAAUGUGGAAUUCUCAAGAGCAUAAAGGACUUGCUUGAAGAUGGGUGCCAGGAAGGCACUGCUUCUGUAGACAACAUGAGGGGGAACACUGUUUAACAUAAGCGCAGCAUGGAAAUCUGCCAAGAGCUGGCAGGUAACUCUGAUCUAACUGAGAAAAGAUGAGACACGUCCAAACUGGUAUACAGAGGUUCAUUUUUCUUUACAAAAAAAAAAAAAAAUCAACAACACAACACUGUAGAGGAUAGCAAGUCAGUGAAAGAAAAGAGGGAACUGGCAGCGAGGCAACUGAGGAUCCUCUCCACCAGUAAAAAGAACCUCUCGUGAACUCACUGUAUUUCGUAUUUCUGAAGGAAAGUCUCCAGAAUACUCGAACACAAAUAGCCAUCACAAAACACUGAUGUCAGCAUCAUAAAAAUACUGUUAUGUUAAACACCUGAACUUGCUCGAGCUCACUGAGAGAAGGAAUUUGAGAAUUUAAAGCUGCCAAGUUUUGCCAGACGCUUCCUGCUCAGUUCCUCCCAGCAGUCACACCAAGCAAUGUGCCACCAGCGCGUGGGUACCCGCGUGGAGCUAUUCCUGCUCCCUCUAUGCUGCCCCACAGGUUUAGCAGCCAGCGGGACAUUCCUCAGUGCCGGCUCCAGGCAGGCUCACGCAUGGUGUGACGAAGUGGGAAGGAAAAACAGACAUCCAGUUUUUAACAAGAUAACCUUCAGGAUGCAGGCGACUUCUAAAAAUACACCGGGCUGAAUUAUUGCACCAUUUCACAAACUAAUAAACUCUUCCAAUCGAGGUCACUAGUCAUUCAUGUUUUCAAGCUGGAUGUCUUACUAUCACACUGUAUGAAGUAUUUACAGAA